AUGGACACGUAAGUUUUCUUUCAGUUUCUCCUCUAUGUGGGGAAAGCUGUACUAGUGUCCUAUAGUAACACAGAAGCUAUCUGUUCAACUCUGAU
rnacentral:snoRNA from 1 species